UAGGGAAUUUUCCGCAAUGGACGAAAGUCUGACGGAGCAACGCCGCGUGAGUGAAGAAGGAUUUCGGUUCGUAAAACUCUGUUGUUAGGGAAGAAAAAAUGUAUAGUAACUAUAUACAAAAGAGACGGUACCUAACCAGAAAGCCACGGCUAACUACGUGCCAGCAGCCGCGGUAAUACGUAGGUGGCAAGCGUUGUCCGGAAUUAUUGGGCGUAAAGCGCGCGCAGGUGGUUUAGAAAGUCUGAUGUGAAAGCCCACGGCUCAACCGUGGAGGGUCAUUGGAAACUAAUAAACUUGAGUGCAGGGGAGAAAAGUGGAAUUCCUAGUGUAGCGGUGAAAUGCGUAGAGAUUAGGGGGAACACCGGUGGCGAAAGCGGCUUUUUGGCCUGCAACUGACACUGAGGCGCGAAAGCGUGGGGAGCAAACAGG
rnacentral:rRNA from 1 species